AUUGAACGCUGGCGGAAUGCUUUACACAUGCAAGUCGAACGGCAGCACGGACUUCGGUCUGGUGGCGAGUGGCGAACGGGUGAGUAAUACAUCGGAACGUGCCCGGUCGUGGGGGAUAACGUAGCGAAAGCUACGCUAAUACCGCAUACGAUCUAAGGAUGAAAGCGGGGGAUCGCAAGACCUCGCGCGAUUGGAGCGGCCGAUGGCAGAUUAGGUAGUUGGUGGGGUAAAGGCUCACCAAGCCGACGAUCUGUAGCUGGUCUGAGAGGACGACCAGCCAAACUGGGACUGAGACACGGACCAGACUCCUACGGGAGGCAGCAGUGGGGAAUUUUGGACAAUGGGCGCAAGCCUGAUCCAGCCAUUCCGCGUGCAGGAUGAAGGCCCUCGGGUUGUAAACUGCUUUUGUACGGAACGAAAAGGCUCUGGUUAAUACCUGGGGCUCAUGACGGUACCGUAAGAAUAAGCACCGGCUAACUACGUGCCAGCCGCCGCCGUAA
rnacentral:rRNA from 1 species